rnacentral:tRNA from 1 species
GCCCAGCCAGUAUGGUGGCUAUGAACCUCGGCUUGUAACCGAGUCGGUUCGGGUUCGAAUCCCGAGUAAGGCA